rnacentral:rRNA from 1 species
AGUGAACGCUGGCGGUAGGCCCAACACAUGCAAGUCGAACGGCAGCACAGUAAGAGCUUGCUCUUACGGGUGGCGAGUGGCGGACGGGUGAGGAAUACAUCGGAAUCUACUUUUUCGUGGGGGAUAACGUAGGGAAACUUACGCUAAUACCGCAUACGACCUACGGGUGAAAGCAGGGGAUCUUCGGACCUUGCGCGAUUGAAUGAGCCGAUGUCGGAUUAGCUAGUUGGCGGGGUAAAGGCCCACCAAGGCGACGAUCCGUAGCUGGUCUGAGAGGAUGAUCAGCCACACUGGAACUGGAACACGGUCCCAACUCCUACGGGGGGCAACAAUGGGGAAUAUUGGACAAUGGGCGCAAGCCUGAUCCAGCCAUACCGCGGGGGUGAAGAAGGCCUUCGGGUUGUAAAGCCCUUUUGUUGGGAAAGAAAAGCAGCAGGUUAAUACCCCGCUGUUCUGACGGUACCCAAAGAAUAAGCACCGGCUAACUUCGUG